GUCGAGGUGUGUCCUAAUGAGGCUUUUUGGGUAGACCCACAUCAUUGGAAAUGUGUCGAAGAGUAUAUAUGUGGUCUGCUUUACUCACAGAACUAUUAGAUCUGUGGGAAAGAAGUACAAGACAGAG